rnacentral:lncRNA from 1 species
AUGUGUUCUUUUACUCUUAUAAAACAAGUAAACACUAUGAGUUACUGUUUAUUAUUGAGAUCGCCUGCAGAAGAAAGACUACUCACAAAACAGAGAAAUAAGGACUAUACUGUCAACACUAAAGUUGGUCAGAAGUGGAUAACUUUAAAAGGAGAAGGUCCUGAUUGGCACACAAUGUUUCUGAUGAAAGAAGCAUCCACUGACACUCAUACGGUAAAUCAGAGGUCUCUGUUUUCCUUUCUCUUAAACAUCAGGAUAAACACACACCCAAGAAAAGUAAAAGGCUGGUAAUUCAAGUACUGAAUUAAUAAAAGUGCUUUCUUGUUGUUUGUUUUUUAAAAU